GAUGAACGCUGGCGGCGUGCCUAAUACAUGCAAGUCGAGCGAACGGACGAGAAGCUUGCUUCUCUGAUGUUAGCGGCGGACGGGUGAGUAACACGUGGAUAACCUACCUAUAAGACUGGGAUAACUUCGGGAAACCGGAGCUAAUACCGGAUAAUAUUUUGAACCGCAUGGUUCAAAAGUAAAAGACGGUCUUGCUGUCACUUAUAGAUGGAUCCGCGCUGCAUUAGCUAGUUGGUAAGGUAACGGCUUACCAAGGCAACGAUGCAUAGCCGACCUGAGAGGGUGAUCGGCCACACUGGAACUGAGACACGGUCCAGACUCCUACGGGAGGCAGCAGUAGGGAAUCUUCCGCAAUGGGCGAAAGCCUGACGGAGCAACGCCGCGUGAGUGAUGAAGGUCUUCGGAUCGUAAAACUCUGUUAUUAGGGAAGAAUAUAUGUGUAAGUAACUGUGCACAUCUUGACGGUACCUAAUCAGAAAGCCACGGCUAACUACGUGCCAGCAGCCGCGGUAAUACGUAGGUGGCAAGCGUUAUCCGGAAUUAUUGGGCGUAAAGCGCGCGUAGGCGGUUUUUUAAGUCUGAUGUGAAAGCCCACGGCUCAACCGUGGAGGGUCAUUGGAAACUGGAAAACUUGAGUGCAGAAGAGGAAAGUGGAAUUCCAUGUGUAGCGGUGAAAUGCGCAGAGAUAUGGAGGAACACCAGUGGCGAAGGCGACUUUCUGGUCUGUAACUGACGCUGAUGUGCGAAAGCGUGGGGAUCAAACAGGAUUAGAUACCCUGGUAGUCCACGCCGUAAACGAUGAGUGCUAAGUGUUAGGGGGUUUCCGCCCCUUAGUGCUGCAGCUAACGCAUUAAGCACUCCGCCUGGGGAGUACGACCGCAAGGUUGAAACUCAAAGGAAUUGGCGGGGACCCGCACAAGCGGUGGAGCAUGUGGUUUAAUUCGAAGCAACGCGAAGAACCUUACCAAAUCUUGACAUCCUUUGACAACUCUAGAGAUAGAGCCUUCCCCUUCGGGGGACAAAGUGACAGGUGGUGCAUGGUUGUCGUCAGCUCGUGUCGUGAGAUGUUGGGUUAAGUCCCGCAACGAGCGCAACCCUUAAGCUUAGUUGCCAUCAUUAAGUUGGGCACUCUAAGUUGACUGCCGGUGACAAACCGGAGGAAGGUGGGGAUGACGUCAAAUCAUCAUGCCCCUUAUGAUUUGGGCUACACACGUGCUACAAUGGACAAUACAAAGGGCAGCGAAACCGCGAGGUCAAGCAAAUCCCAUAAAGUUGUUCUCAGUUCGGAUUGUAGUCUGCAACUCGACUACAUGAAGCUGGAAUCGCUAGUAAUCGUAGAUCAGCAUGCUACGGUGAAUACGUUCCCGGGUCU
rnacentral:rRNA from 1 species